rnacentral:tRNA from 1 species
GGAGAGGUGGCCGAGUGGUUGAAGGCGGACGCCUCGAAAGCGUCUGUGGGAGUUAAACCUUCCACCGUGGGUUCGAAUCCCACCCUCUCCG